rnacentral:rRNA from 1 species
GUGAAGCGGCAAAAGCUCAAAUUUGAAAUCUAGCACCUUCGGUGUUCGAGUUGUAAUUUGAAGAUGGUAACCUUGGGUUUGGCUCUUGUCUAUGUUCCUUGGAACAGGACGUCAUAGAGGGUGAGAAUCCCGUCUGAUGAGAUGCCCAUUCCUAUGUAAGGUGCUAUCGAAGAGUCGAGUUGUUUGGGAAUGCAGCUCUAAGUGGGUGGUAAAUUCCAUCUAAAGCUAAAUAUUGGCGAGAGACCGAUAGCGAACAAGUACAGUGAUGGAAAGAUGAAAAGAACUUUGAAAAGAGAGUGAAAAAGUACGUGAAAUUGUUGAAAGGGAAGGGCAUUAGAUCAGACUUGGUGUUUUACGAUUAUCUUCUCUUCUUGAGCUGUGCACUCGUAUUUCACUGGGCCAGCAUCGAUUCGGAUGGCAAGAUAAUGGCAGUUGAAUGUGGCUUCACUUCGGUGGAGUGUUAUAGCUUCUGCUGAUAUUGCCUGUCUGGAUCGAGGGCUGCGUCUUUUGACUAGGAUGCUGGCGUAAUG